UACGUAGGGUGCGAGCGUUGUCCGGAAUUAUUGGGCGUAAAGAGCUUGUAGGCGGUUUGUCGCGUCUGCUGUGAAAAUCCGGGGCUCAACCCCGGACUGCAGUGGGUACGGGCAGACUAGAGUGUGGUAGGGGAGACUGGAAUUCCUGGUGUAGCGGUGAAAUGCGCAGAUAUCAGGAGGAACACCGGUGGCGAAGGCGGCCUUCUGGACAGUGACUGACGCUGAGACGCGAAAGCGUGGGGAGCGAACAGG
rnacentral:rRNA from 1 species